GCACCGGUGGUGUAUGGCACACACGCCGUGUCUGUGUAAUACAGGUGUAGUCAUUACUCGGCGAUACGGGGUUCGAUUCCCCGCCGGUGCA